rnacentral:rRNA from 1 species
CCUGAGAAACCCAAAAGAUCGAAUGGGGAGAUUCAUCGUCAGCUCAUUUUGUAUAUGUAUAAGUUAUGAUGCGGGUUACUACUUGUAGUAUUGCCUGCACAUUCUUGUAUAUUUAGUUGCAAGAUGUUGUCGGCGUGCACUUCUCCCCUAGUAGGACGUCGCGACCUGUUGGGUGUCGGUCUACGGCCCAAGUGAUAGCCUUUAAUGUAAUUCAAAAAAACAUUGAAGAUCCUUGGUGUUUUCUGACCGGCUACUUGGCAGUAUUCGUACGGUAUUUAGCCGCUAAAUUUAUUAAGCGUCCAUAUCCGUCACAAGCGAGGCUAAUUUACUGAUAGUACGGACCUAGUGCCGUCGUUGGUAUUGGCCAGCUGUUGGUUGAUGGUAUUCUAGGACUGGCUAAAAUUAAUUACCGGUCGGCGAUGCUACUGCUUUGGGUACUUUCAG